rnacentral:misc_RNA from 1 species
AAAUAGUAUGCUAUUUAUUGUUGUGUGCAAUAGGAUUGAAGAAGGUUAGAAACUUAAGAAUAAAGAUAUGCAGGGCCAAUUUUUAUGACAACUUCAAGGUUUGCAAAUUUAGCUAAGAACACCACAGAAAUGACUGCAAGUCUUCCAACAAUUUUUGGGAGCAACUCAGGUUUUCGAUACCAGAUAUAAUAUGAUGAUGAUUAUUCUAUCCUCUUUCUUGCAAUUUCUGGGCAUGUUAUAUUUGAUAAAUUCAAACCUUUUUUAAACAACUGACCAUUAUAUUUGAAAAAAGCUGCCAUGAAUAUAUUAGAAAAUUGAUUCUAUAUUUUUGAGAAUGUAUUAUUAUACGUUACGGGUUCAAAACAAAACCUCUUGAAGUUUUUCAUGACAUAUAUUUUUGUGCUUGCUAUUUCAAAAUUAGCUAUUUUGGUCCCAAAUGUUUUGUUAAUGACUCCACAUUUAGUACUUUAUUAUAAAUUAUGAAUAGAAGUCAUACCAUAGG